rnacentral:rRNA from 1 species
GAUGAACGCUAGCGGCAGGCUUAACACAUGCAAGUCGAGGGGUAGAGUGGCUUCGGCUACUUAAGACCGGCGCACGGGUGCGUAACGCGUAUGCAAUCUACCUUAUACAGGGGGAUAGCCCAGAGAAAUUUGGAUUAAUACCCCAUAGUAUUUUCGAAUGGCAUAAUUUGAUUAUUAAAGUUCCAACGGUAUAAGAUGAGCAUGCGUCCCAUUAGCUAGAUGGUAAGGUAACGGCUUACCAUGGCUACGAUGGGUAGGGGUCCUGAGAGGGAGAUCCCCCACACUGGUACUGAGACACGGACCAGACUCCUACGGGAGGCAGCAGUGAGGAAUAUUGGGCAAUGGUCGCAAGACUGACCCAGCCAUGCCGCGUGCAGGAUGACGGUCCUAUGGAUUGUAAACUGCUUUUGUACAGGAAGAAACACUCCUACGUGUAGGAGCUUGACGGUACUGUAAGAAUAAGGAUCGGCUAACUCCGUGCCAGCAGCCGCGGUAACAC